rnacentral:rRNA from 1 species
GAGUUUGAUCUUGGCUCAGAUUGAACGCUGGCGGCAGGCCUAACACAUGCAAGUCGAGCGGAUGACGGGAGCUUGCUCCUUGAUUCAGCGGCGGACGGGUGAGUAAUGCCUAGGAAUCUGCCUGGUAGUGGGGGACAACGUUUCGAAAGGAACGCUAAUACCGCAUACGUCCUACGGGAGAAAGCAGGGGACCUUCGGGCCUUGCGCUAUCAGAUGAGCCUAGGUCGGAUUAGCUAGUUGGUGGGGUAAUGGCUCACCAAGGCGACGAUCCGUAACUGGUCUGAGAGGAUGAUCAGUCACACUGGAACUGAGACACGGUCCAGACUCCUACGGGAGGCAGCAGUGGGGAAUAUUGGACAAUGGGCGAAAGCCUGAUCCAGCCAUGCCGCGUGUGUGAAGAAGGUCUUCGGAUUGUAAAGCACUUUAAGUUGGGAGGAAGGGCAGUAAGUUAAUACCUUGCUGUUUUGACGUUACCGACAGAAUAAGCACCGGCUAACUCUGUGGCAGCAGCCG